UACGGAGGGGGCUAGCGUUGUUCGGAAUUACUGGGCGUAAAGCGCACGUAGGCGGCUUCGUAAGUCAGAGGUGAAAGCCCCGGGCUCAACCCCGGAACUGCCUUUGAGACUGCGUAGCUCGAAUCCGGGAGAGGCGGGUGGAAUUCCGAGUGUAGAGGUGAAAUUCGUAGAGAUCUGGAGGAACACCAGUGGCGAAGGCGGCCCGCUGGACGGGGACUGACGCUGAGGUGCGAAAGCGUGGGGAGCAAACAGG
rnacentral:rRNA from 1 species